CCGCCAUCUAUUCUUUCAGUCCGCCGAGGAAACGUUUUGGCUCGACGGCGGUUCGAAUUUUUUUCCGAUGGCGGUGUUUAGAUGGCGGAAAUCCGCCAUCUAAACUAUCCCGCCCAAAAUUUCGAAUCUCCCCCAAAUGAUAACCCGAUUACCCGAUUAAAUUGACUUAAGAUGGCGGAAAUCCGCCAUCUUAAGUUUUCGGGGACUCGGGCGGAAAAAAGCCCGCCCAAAUUUCGAUUGGGCGGACUUUCACUUAAGUGCUGGCGGCACUUAAGUGUACUUACAUGGCGGAAAUCCGCCAUGUAAGUUUUGGGGUUUAUUAAAAACCCCAAAUCCAGACAGACGCGUCUUUUUCUCUCCUUGGUGAUUCCGCCGACCGUCUCCUGCUGCCGAUUCCUUCGCCGUGCGUCCCUGCUGCCCCCGUUCUCGCCUCCGGUCUCGCCUACGGUCUCGCCUCCGGUGGUGCCCGUUCUUCCUUCCGUUCGUAGUUGCUCCUUUCAUACUUUGGU
rnacentral:lncRNA from 1 species